AUGCUGCAAAAGAGUGAUGAGAGUAAACAUGGGAGGAAUGUUUUGAAGGAGCAAAGCAGGAAGAUGGGAACAACCCAAGAAUGUUUGAAUAAAGGAAGAGCAAGUGCGUAUAUCAGAUUUAGCAUAGGGUGUUCUUCCAAGAUAGUUGACAGUGUUUGCAAAAGCAAUUACAGAAUGGAGCUUGUGAAGAACUCUGGAUUCGGAUACAUGCUUGUGAAGAACUCUGGAUUCAAGCAAUUUUGCCAAGGCCUACAUCUGGUCCCAAGCUUUUUUUUUACAACAAACAAACAAAUUAAGCCCACAAACACAAGGCCUAGGCCCAGGAAACUUGCCGAGAGUGUGGGGGUGGUGGAGGGGGAGAGGGACGGCCCAGCCCUGGAAGCGUCCAACAAAAAAGGACGAGCAACGACAAACAAUCGAACGACUGGGUGA
rnacentral:rRNA from 1 species